GUGGGGAAUAUUGGGCAAUGGGCGAAAGCCUGACCCAGCAACGCCGCGUGAAGGAAGAAGGUCUUCGGAUCGUAAACUUCUAUCCUUGGUGAAGAUAAUGACGGUAGCCGAGAAGGAAGCCCCGGCUAACUACGUGCCAGCAGCCGCGGUAAUACGUAGGGGGCAAGCGUUGUCCGGAAUGAUUGGGCGUAAAGGGCGCGUAGGCGGCCUGGUAAGUCGGGAGUGAAAGUCCUGCUUUUAAGGUGGGAAUUGCUUUGGAUACUGUCGGGCUUGAGUGCAGGAGAGGUAAGCGGAAUUCCCGGUGUAGCGGUGAAAUGCGUAGAGAUCGGGAGGAACACCAGUGGCGAAGGCGGCUUACUGGACUGUAACUGACGCUGAGGCGCGAAAGUGUGGGGAGCAAACAGGAUUAGAAACCCCUGUAGUCC
rnacentral:rRNA from 1 species